rnacentral:lncRNA from 1 species
GGGGAACCUUGAGAUAUCGAAAUGCUAGAGAAGUAAAGAGGAUUGGUGACUGAGGUGCAAUGUGGAAAAGGAGACGUCUCGUAGCAUUCUGCAACAACUCACUCAGAUCCCAGAAUCGAAAUUGCUAUCAGUAAAGAAGAGAAGAAGAAGAGGGUAAUAGAAAGGGAGGGCAGUAGAUUUUGGAAGAAGGGUGGAAAGAAAAGGCAAUGGGUGAGAGGAAAAAGGGGAAGGAAAGGAGGUUUCUUUAUGUAAGGGGGGGCAUUGGGCUACUUGCAGUGUAUAGUAAUAAUAAGAGAAGGAAAGAUUCAGUGAAUUUGGGGGUGGAAGAGGCAAGUUGUGGACUGUAAUAUAACAGAGGAUGGAUGGUUGGGCUGACAUUCAUUUGGAUUUUGAUUUUGUAUUGUUGUUUCAUAAAGAGGGUAAAGAAGGAUGGGUUUGGAACGUUUGCUGGUUUUGGAAAUGAAAUAUCUUUUUGGUAAUGCUAUGUAUGUGCGUGUAUUCCAAGGUUCAUCACCCCUGCCCUAUUUCUAUCCAUCUCUCUCUCUCUCUAGUCUUUACCUCUCCACCCGCCAUUGUUGGUUG